rnacentral:lncRNA from 1 species
CUCCUCCUUCCAAACUAAACUGCACCAAAGCCUUCUGCCCUGUUAGGGGCUGGGAAGGCCAAAAAGGAACAUGCCUGUUUUCUCCUUCUGAGUUUGGAACUGACUGAGAAAUAAGACCAAGAGACAGACCACUGGAGAUCUAAAUAUCAGCUUUAUUUAUUGAUAAAGCUGACCUGAACAGUGUGGCUUGACCUGCAGCCAAAUGGGUUCCUGAAAUGUCCCUUCUGAUCUUUGCUUACCCUGCAAAGCCGGCGUGGCCACACUCACCACAUGGCAGACCAGAAUGCAACUGUCCUGUGGACAGGCUGACUCUAAAAGGACACACAGAGAGAAAAAGCAGGGGCAGAUUCAUCAGAUGGUUUGCAGGUGGCAGUGGCCGAGGUUUAGUCUCACACAACACAACAAAUGAGAAAGGAGUCUUUAAAAAGAGAAGAAAUCUUACAGUAAAUCAUUCUUUGUUGAUUUGAGUUCCACAAUCUCUGCCAGAAACUCUGGAACUUGAGUACUACCAGAAAGAAACAAAAUGUGGUGAGUCCUACAGUCUUUCUAUAUAUAAAAUCUGUAAUGCUUAGACACGCCACCCCAAGGUUCUGCUGGGUAAGGUUUCACUUGCUAUCUGUGGUCAACCAAUAUGCUACCAAGUAGUGAUUGUGCAUCAGUUAACAUAAUUAAAAGUUACAAGAAGUUUAAAUCGCUGAAAGGUAUAAACUUUAAAUAAAUUUUUGAUCCUUAAAAAUCA